AAUGUGUCUCAUCUGACACAUCUGGUUCUUUUUGAUACCUGUUGCUUUUCCUUCUGUCCUGGGGAAAUUGCAGUGACGUCCCCCCAGGUGUCUGCAAGGAGUGCUUUAACUCCUGUUAAACCCCUGCUGCAAAUCCCUGCUUGACUUAAACUUGGUGGAAUAGGUGGCUGCUGAGGAUGGGGGUUGAAUGGUGCUUUUGCUGGGCAGGUGUCUCUGGCCUCUGGCUCCUGUUGAGCUGAGCUGCUGGCAGACACCCCGCGAUGGUGGCAGAUCCACUCUGCUUUGCUUGAAGGAGGUUCACCCUAAAUAGAAGAUACAUGUGUCCAGCCAGAAAACAACAGGAAAUAAAUAUGUAGAGAGGUCUAAGCCAAUUUUCUUGUAACUCUCAAAUUAAGGAAAGCCUUAAUGAUGACUCUUAGACAGUGUUUACCACUGUAGCUCCUCAGAGAAGAGCUCCUGGGAGAAGAAGAGUAAGGAUCUCACCAGGGAUCUCCAGCAUCAGAACAACUGGCUGUUUCACUAGGUCUCAGCUGGCUGAACAUGGUGGUCAAGAUGUGAUGGACUUGGAGCAUCCCUGCAGUCAGACCAGCCAGGAAAGGAGCAGGACUGACUGACAGCACUAGAGCCAUAAGAAUGGAUGGAGAGGAACUCCCCAUGAAUGAACUCAUCUGGAAACUGGAGAUGAAGCUGCUCAGACAGCAGCACUGUGGGACUGAGCGGGUGUCAAGACGUAGCGUGGCUGGUUCCUCUCAAGGGUUAUGUCAUGCAAGUGCCAGACCAAACCAAGGACUUCAGGUUGUGAUUCAGGAAGCCUGUUUGCAGUUUUUCUCUUCUGUAGGGCUUCGCGGUCACGUUUCUGAAACUGGAUUCAAAAUUACAUCAAACACUUGCGUACCUAAACAGAAAUGCCAGGCACAGCCUUAUACACUGCAGCUUGUCAAAUACCUGAAUGCCACAGGGGAUUUGAUGGCUAAAUGUUCUGUGCAUUUAGGGUAAACCAGAUCCAUGUACAAUAUUUGCUUAAACUGGGGAAAAAGCUCACAGACUAUGACAAAGCACUGAUGAGUUUUUGGUGCAGUGCACAGGAGAUAUUUUCAUUGCUGAAGAGUGUGUGUCCAAUAGAAGGUGGAAGGCCCUUUAAUGGAUGCAGUAUGUGAUAGCUGAGUACAAAAUGUCAUGUUUCUAUGCUGGUAGUGCUCUGACCUUCCCUCUAACCACCACAAUUAUCUGCUUUCAAAAUCAGUGUUUUUCUUUGUAUUUACCACUAGACUUAAUAAUGCUGUUACGUUCUUGUGACCUAGGAAUAUAUUGUUGGGUCUGGACUAUUUCCAUACAAGGUACAAAAAGUAAUUCUUUUAAUGGAUUGAAGAAGCCAGAGGUUAAGGAAAUGUGUAGUUCUGUAGGUGUUUCUUAGGAUGGUGUAAACCCCACUUUCUGAUGCACCAGACUUGCUAGUACGGCCCUGCUCUGGGUUUUUGGGCAAGCCUUUGCUUUCUGUAGGUGUAGCCCCCAGCCUGCAGAAUGGGACCCUGGCAAUUAUUUUCCAAGUUUCUAUCAGCUUUGUGAAACACAGGUUAUAAGGACCCAGCCUGUUCCACAAAGAAUUAUGAGCUGGAUGAUUUCUUCAAGGCCAGAAAUUGGGAAAUUCAGGACAUUCUCAGGAGUGAUGGCUUAUUUCAGUCAAGAAAAGGGAGUGGACAUGGCUACAAGUAAUAUAGCAUUGUUUUAUCUAAAAGCUAAACCAUCCUUCAGUGAAGUCCCACACCUAGAUGUUUUAGGAGCAUCUAGCUUUGCCUAAUGUGAUAUUUCACUUCCAAAAGCCUUUGGCACUGUCCCUAGGGCUGUUUUCAGGUAGCCAGAGGGUCUUCCUUCUGGUUCAAAGUCCUUUUGGAGGCUGUUUUGAGGUUCCUCUCAUCAUGAGUUGCUAUCACUUUCAAACUCCUUAAGACAACAUCUAUUGCUAAUAUGCCAGUACAAGGAGCUUUUGCAGUACCAGAAGUGUGCUGUUCAUUUAUGUUGUGACUGUAAGUUGUAUCUAGCCUUUAAAACAUCUUCCCCUCAGCUUCUCAUAGGCACAAAGAUAUUCAGUUAAACUGGCUCAUUUCUGACCUUCAAAAUUUCCAACCAGAUGCAAAGUUUGCACCUUGAGAGAAUCUUUCUAAUUAAUCUUCCCAGCCUACUGUGAAGAAGGUAGCAGGCAUUAACUGCAGUCUGAGGACUGGAAAUGCAGGGCUGCGAUCACAUAAAAGGUUUUCAGCUCCCAAAUUGCAGGCAGAAAGAAGUUCUGUGCUGUCCAGGUGAUCUUUCCCUGGAGACUGCACUGACCCCACACGUUCCUCUGCUCUGCUGCAGCAUCAGGGAGGCCACACAGCAGGGGACUUAAAGCAUUAGGAGAGAUGUAAGGUUUAAUGGUGAGAUUAGAGCCUCUGCUGCUGCUCAGGUGGGUUCUGCUCUGCUGCAAUGGAAAUCUGGCUUGUUACUGCAGUGUCUGUGCAGGGUUGGGAGGAGAAGAGCACCACCCAAACAAAGCUCCCCUUCCCUCUGACCCCAUAGCAAGACCCCAUAGGAUUUCAUGCCAAGUACUCAAAUGACCGCCUGGGCAUACCAUGAGACAAGGGCGCUGCAGGUACCUCUAGUGAAAGCUCUUGGUACAAGCAGCGAUGAGGUGGGGUGAGAGCUGCCCAUUCCUUCAGCCAAAAGCAGAGGAUGAGGAGGAACAUACUGUCAAUAAUGGGAACAGUUUCACACUCGGCACUGGGCAGGCAGCCAGCUCCAAACCACAGGGGUUUUAACUCCUAACCUUGCAAACCGUGGAUCUUUGCCCAUUAACUGCAAUAUUUCUUCCCUGUCAAGGCAUUAAAUCUUCCCCAGGUCAAACCUGGUCCUGUCUCUUUAUGCGUUUGGAGAGGUUUACUCUCUAAAGCUGCUCCUGGCUUUUGUGUUUGCAAAUGGCCCUUCUGGGAAAGCCCUGGGUGCUCAGGCUGAGCGUGGCUCUGGGUCAGUGCUGCGGCUGGAGCUGAAACCUUUGCUUGUGGAGAGCUGGCCUUUGCACCUCCAGGAAAAGAGGAGCAAUGAGUGGCAGCCUUCGAUAAGGAUGAGUUGCACAAAUAUUGGAGGCUGAUCAAUUAAUGUUUUUCCUUUUGGUGUAUUCACACGGCACAAACUCCAACUGGUUCCAUUCCAAGCCUCAAUUUUUCUGUAGCAGUGAGGAUGCACUUGGAUAACUUGUUGGACUGCUGGGACACACAUGUACUGGCACACACAUUUUGUAUACCUACAGAACAAGGACCUGAUUUUUACUCUCUCCUCCUUUCUGCAUUUUAAACCCCCAGCACAGCCCAAGACUGGAAGCUCUUUCUGUGUGUCCAAGUUACGGGUUCUAUUCGGUGUCCUUCAAUCAUUGCAGCUUCCCACCUGUUUGGUUAAUCCAGAAGACUCAGUUGCCAGCAUUCAGUUUGACUGCUGGGUAACUUACUUGUUAUAAAAGCUCAAGAGAAAAAAUCCUGUUCUUAUGGCUGGGUUAAAUCUUUCCAAUGAAGAAUGAACUUGGUAAAGAAAGGAAUCUGAGGGACCAAAACUAGCUGUGAAAUUGGAUUGAACACUGGAUGAGAGUGGAGAUGAUGUGAGCUGGGUCUUUGAAAAUGCUGGAUGUUUUAGUAGUGCUUUUUAAGGAACUUCACUUUUGAAGUAGCUUUUUUUUAAGGAAAAAAAAGUCUCUUUAUAAUGUGUUUCAUUUGUACAAAAAAGAAAACUUGAUGCAGUGAAUCUUGUCUGCAUUAGAAAACAAACAAAUUGUGU